ACAAGAUGGGCAUAGGCCAUGAGGGGCCAGAAGAGCAACAAGAGCAGGAGAAUGGGGAUCACCUGGAAGUCGUUAGAAGGGAUCACCUACCCACCCCCAAAGAGGCAACAUGCCAAUAUGUGCGACUGGGAUGGAGCUACCAGUACAUUGGCCAUGAGAGGAACAACAAACUGCAUCACCAUGUUCAUACGCAACCUUGCAACGUGGCAACAAGUAACAACUAACAACUUCCCUGCCAAGUCCGGGCUUUUUUUGAAAACGUCCGGGCUGUCAAAUCCUGAUGAUUGCGCUCCCCAUUAUUCUGCCCAAAGUUCUAGUUGGUCACAAGCACUCGCUCCUCGAAUCCUCGAGUCCUCGAGUCCUCGUCCACGUCCAGAAUAUGUUUAAACCAAACAAUGAACCACAAGACUCGGACUGACGGCCGACAGAUUCUCCAGAUGGCUUUUCAGUGUCCGUACUGUCCGGCUAAAGGUUCAUUUAACUUGAGUAAUCCAUUCUCAAUGAAAUGUAUUUUGCUAUCGUAAUGAGGAUCCCAGCCAUUGCGGACUAAUUAGUUGAACAAAAAGGAUGACAACUAUUUGGAUGACACCUUCCUCUCCAAAUCGGCCGGCUCCUUGAUGGUCAGUCAGUCUGGACCCCGUUAAACGCGUCCGUGAGAGACUGGUCGUAAUUCUUUCCUUACAACCCAUCCAUCUACUUAUCCAUCCAUUCUCCCGUGGUUUUAACAAUGAAAGAACCAAUCAUCAUCAACUGACAAUGGUACCAUGGAGGUACUUGACCAAUUUGGAUACCUAGAUCCAACCCCAAGCCGACAGUGACAAAAGGUCACUGGAAUAUUCUCAAUGGCAGGUCGACGAUCAAGUCUACAGUGUACGUGGAUCAUAGGUUCGAGAUUGAAGAACGGGAAGAAGGAAAACCCAUGAAUUAAAAAUCAAUUCCAAUCAAAUCAGUGGUUAUCCAGGAAUUCAAGGAUAGUAAGUGAAACCUGAUCUGGAAGACAGCUGUCUGGGGUCGUAGAAUACCCCCUGCCAUCUGAACUCACACCAAAACCAUCCUUACCAUGCUAGACGAACGACCACGAGGGCGAGCAGAACGGACGACCAAGUUCAAUUUGGGUACCCACUUUUGAAGGCGAUUCCUCAAUCUCGGUCGUCAACUUUCAAAGACCCUGGCAAAUAAAUGUUGGCAUAAAACCGA